rnacentral:rRNA from 1 species
UACGUAGGAGGCGAGCGUUGUCCGGAAUUACUGGGCGUAAAGCGCGUGUAGGCGGUCUGAAUAGUCUGCUGUGAAAGCGCCUGGCUUAACCGGGCGAGGUCGGCGGAAACUCUCAGACUGGAGGCCGGUAGAGGGGGGUGGAAUUCCCGGUGUAGUGGUGAAAUGCGUAGAGAUCGGGAGGAACACCUGUGGCGAAGGCGGCCCCCUGGGCCGCGCCUGACGCUGAGACGCGAAAGCGUGGGGAGCGAACAGG